UACGAAGGGGGCUAGCGUUGCUCGGAAUUACUGGGCGUAAAGCGCACGUAGGCGGCUUUUUAAGUCAGGGGUGAAAUCCUGGAGCUCAACUCCAGAACUGCCUUUGAUACUGAGAGCUUGAGUCCGGGAGAGGUGAGUGGAACUGCGAGUGUAGAGGUGAAAUUCGUAGAUAUUCGCAAGAACACCAGUGGCGAAGGCGGCUCACUGGCCCGGUACUGACGCUGAGGUGCGAAAGCGUGGGGAGCAAACAGG
rnacentral:rRNA from 1 species